AGUGAACGCUGGCGGUAGGCCUAACACAUGCAAGUCGAACGGCAGCACAGGAGAGCUUGCUCUCUGGGUGGCGAGUGGCGGACGGGUGAGGAAUACAUCGGAAUCUACUCCGUCGUGGGGGAUAACGUAGGGAAACUUACGCUAAUACCGCAUACGACCUACGGGUGAAAGCAGGGGACCUUCGGGCCUUGCGCGAUUGAAUGAGCCGAUGUCGGAUUAGCGAGUUGGCGGGGUAAAGGCCCACCAAGGCGACGAUCCGUAGCUGGUCUGAGAGGAUGAUCAGCCACACUGUAACGUGAACGCGGUCCAGACUCCUACGGGAGGCAGCAGUGGGGAAUAUUGGACAAUGGGCGCAAGCCUGAUCCAGCCAUACCGCGUGGGUGAAGAAGGCCUUCGGGUUGUAAAGCCCUUUUGUUGGGAAAGAAAUCCAGCUGGCUAAUACCCGGUUGGGAUGACGGUACCCAAAGAAUAAGCACCGGCUAACUUCGUGCCAGCAGCCGCCGUAA
rnacentral:rRNA from 1 species